GGGUUUACCCAUUGGUCAGGCUUAAUUGUCUGUACUGGUGAGAUAAAUCUCUACCUUCUGAGGAACUUUCAUGCCAUUUAUUUGGUGUGAUGGGAAAUCAGGACUGUUACUUUUUGAAAAAUUAGAGUGUUUAAAGCAGGCUAACGUCUGAAUACAUUAGCAUGGAAUAAUGAAAUAGGACGGACUGAUUCUAUUUCGUUGGUUUCUAGGAUCACCGUAAUG
rnacentral:rRNA from 1 species